GUCAUUUCUGGAAGUGUGAAAACCAGCUGGUAGGGUCCUCUCCUGCUCCCUUUUUUGUCCUUUUCGACGUUUUCAUUUCACUCUUCUUCUUAUAACCCACCCUCUCCCUCUCCCUCUCUAUUCCCCUUCAUCCCUCUCACUCUCUCCAUACCCACAAAAGUGACUAGCUUUUACUAUGUCUCUCCCCCAGCUAGGGUUGAAGAUGAUGAAGAAGAACCCCAGAUGGAAGCCUUGUGUUUUGAGGGGAAUGUUGUCUGGCUCGAGGAGGACGUGCCCUUCAUCUCCACGAUCGAUUUACUUUUUAUUUGUCGUCGUCGUCGGACCAGGCUUCAUUCCCCCCAAUUAUAUGUGCUUCUCCCACUUCAUUACUUGAAAGGGUCUUCUUAAUUUUUAAGAGCAAUUGAAGAUGUGGGUAAUGCGCAGAUUGGUGUAAUCAUGACCAUUUUGACCAAUUUCUCUGCUUCAACAAAAGGCUCUCAUCAUUGCCUCCUUUUUCGGAUUUCAUCACUUUCUUCUUUUCUCUCGGAUCAAGUUAUGAAUCAUGAUGAUGGUAUUUUUGUUGUUGUUGUCAGGUUUCUUCGAUCAUCAUUACCCUAUCGAUGAGCUCUUCUUCUUCUUCUAAUCAUCACGAAUUCCAGUAUCCGAUCGUUCUGUUUCUGGCAUUUUUUUUUUCCAGAUCCGGCAUGCCCAGCUCAACAACUCCCCCUCCCCCACCUCUCUCUCUCUCACACACACUCAGAGAGAGACUAUCUUUGAUUUUUAGGGUUUCAUGGGCUAUGUGUAAUUUGUGGCCCUAGUCUCAACAAGUCUUGCUAGCCAUGGAUGAACAAGCAAAUGUAGACACAACUUCUAUCAGUCAUUUUCCGGAUGUCAACUCUUGGCGACAUAACUGAAGCCUAACAUGAUUAUAAUUAAAUUGAGUUCAAUAAUGAACCAUGUGCGUGUAUUCUCCCCAUGAUUAGCGAUGGCUAUAGACUCAUAGAGUAGGUUGCUUUGUA